GAAGCCUGCCAGACCGCCGCUGGUGCUAGUGCCGAAAGGCCGCACUGGAGGAACGUCCGGACUGCACAGGACAGCGUAGCAGCUAACGGCUGCCCACCGUGAGGUGAGGAUCAGAGCAACAGAGACGAGUCCGGGGGGCGUACCGCAAGGUAAACCACCCGGGGUGAAACGGGCAAUCUCUACGCGCAGCAAUACCAAGUAGGCCAGCGUUGAUGUGGUUCCGCAGAGUUGGCGGGUAGGUAGCGUCGAGCCGUGGUGGCGACACCCGGCCCAGAGUAAUGGCGGUCACGCCUGGGGCAACCCAGGUGCACAGAAUCCGGCUUAUCGGCAGACUUCACAC
rnacentral:RNase_P_RNA from 1 species